rnacentral:rRNA from 2 species
GUACAAUCCGAAGACGUGACGCGUAGCGAACUAUAAGUAGCGAAGUGUGUGAUUCCRGCUGCCAAGAAAAGCCGCUAUUGUGUAAUACGUGCCCGUACCGUAAACCGACACAGGUAGAUGAGGAGAGAAUCCUAAGGCCGGCGGGAGAAGCAUUGUUAAGGAACUCGGCAAAAUGACCCUGUAACUUCGGGAUAAAGGGUGCCAGAGAGAUCUGGCCGCAGAGAAUAGGCUCAAGCAACUGUUUAGCAAAAACACAGGUCUAUGCAAAACCGAAAGGUGAGGUAUAUGGGCUGACGCCUGCCCGGUGCUGGAAGGUUAAGAGGAGAGGUUAGCGCAAGCGAAGCUUUGAAUUUAAGCCCCAGUAAACGGCGGCCGUAACUAUAACGGUCCUAAGGUAGCGAAAUUCCUUGUCGGGUAAGUUCCGACCCGCACGAAAGGCGUAAUGAUUUGAGCGCUGUCUCAACAAUGCACCCGGUGAAAUUGAAAUACCAGUGAAGAUGCUGGUUACCUGCGCCAGGACGGAAAGACCCCAUGGAGCUUUACUCCAGCUUGAUACUGGGAUUCGGUAUUGCAUGUACAGGAUAGGUGGGAGGCUWUGAAGCAAGGACGCCAGUCUUUGUGGAGCCAAUGUUGGGAUACCACCCUUGCGAUAUUGGGUUUCUAACCUGCAGCCGUGACCCGGCUGGGGGACAAUGUCAGGUGGGGAGUUUGACUGGGGCGGUCGCCUCCGAAAGGGUAUCGGAGGCGCUCAAAGGUUCCCUCAGAAUGGUUGGAAACCAUUCGCAGAGUGCAAAGGCAUAAGGGAGCUUGACUGCGAGACCGACGGGUCGAGCAGGUACGAAAGUAGGACUUAGUGAUCCGGUGGUAGAAAGUGGG